rnacentral:rRNA from 1 species
UACGUAGGGUGCAAGCGUUGUCCGGAAUUAUUGGGCGUAAGGAGCUCGUAGGCGGUUUGUCGCGUCUGCUGUGAAAACCCGAGGCUCAACCCCGGGCCUGCAGUCGAUACGGGCAGACUAGAGUGCGGUAGGGGAGACUGGAAUUCCUGGUGUAGCGGUGAAAUGCGCAGAUAUCAGGAGGAACACCGGUGGCGAAGGCGGGUCUCUGGGCCUGUACUGACGCUGAGGAGCGAAAGCGUGGGGAGCAAACAGG